GCACGGAAGUUAGCCGGUUCUUCUUCUGUUGGUACCGUCAUUAUCUUCCCGACUGUGAGGAUCUUUACUACCCUAAGGCCUUCAUCGAUCACGCGGAAUGGCUAGAUCAGGGUUUCCCCCAUUGUCUAGAUUCCCCA
rnacentral:rRNA from 1 species